rnacentral:rRNA from 1 species
UACGAAGGGGGGCUAGCGUUGCUCGGAAUCACUGGGCGUAAAGGGUGCGUAGGCGGGUCUUUAAGUCAGGGGGUGAAAUCCUGGAGCUCAACUCCAGAACUGCCUUUGAUACUGAGGAUCUUGAGUAUGGGAGAGGUGAGUGGAACUGCGAGUGUAGAGGUGAAAUUCGUAGAUAUUCGCAAGAACACCAGUGGCGAAGGCGGCUCACUGGCCCGAUACUGACGCUGAGGCACGAAAGCGUGGGGAGCAAACAGGG